rnacentral:rRNA from 1 species
GACGAACGCUGGCGGCGUGCUUAACACAUGCAAGUCGAACGAUGAAGCCCUUCGGGGUGGAUUAGUGGCGAACGGGUGAGUAACACGUGGGCAAUCUGCCCUUCACUCUGGGACAAGCCCUGGAAACGGGGUCUAAUACCGGAUACCACUCCUGUCUGCAUGGACGGGGGUUGAAAGCUCCGGCGGUGAAGGAUGAGCCCGCGGCCUAUCAGCUUGUUGGUGGGGUAAUGGCCCACCAAGGCGACGACGGGUAGCCGGCCUGAGAGGGCGACCGGCC